AAAAAAAGAAUGGCUGAUGAAAAAGUAGAGGUCAGCUGAGCGAACAAUGCCAGUGUCAUCAUGCCCCCUCAUUAGUAGGACCAUAUGUAGACAAUGUGAAAAAAUGGGGUUCUAGCCUAGGCCCACUUACAGUGGGGCUCCCUCACACUCAUUUGGUGGUCAUCAUCCUGGUUCCAGAAUCCAUGACCUGGGUGGGCACACUGAGCCACUAGCAAUAUCCCCACUUGACUCUGUGACUUGUGAAGUAAGAGGAGUAGUAUCCUACUUAUAGCAGGCGGUGGCCAAUCAGAAACAACAGCACAACAUAACAGGUGGAAUGGCAGAGAUUAAGACAAUCUUCGGAGACUUUAAAGGAUACAAGGGUGGUGGUCUU
rnacentral:lncRNA from 1 species